rnacentral:lncRNA from 7 species
GCCUUGCUAACCACACCAACAAAUUAAAAUGACCAAGAAGGAUGUUGGCGAGCGCCGUCGCGGUCGGAUCCUACCUUGGCCGCCGGUCUGGCCUCGGGAGGAGAACGUGAGAUCACGGAGCCAGGAGGGUCGAAGAUGUGAUGUGGAAUGGCUAGUAUUGCUCUCCAGCGAUCACCAUGGCCGCGGUGCCGCACUCCGUCAUGGCCAGUAAUAUCCGUACUGCAAUUUACGUCUUUGCCUCUCUAUAUGUAUUGCUACGAUAGAAGCGAGGUUGCGAUGCACCUACAUUCUACAUUGGAGAAGUACCUGGAGUUGCACCAAAUAGGUCAAGGACAGGUACCGCCAAGAUGUGGAGCAUGAAGGAUGUCGCGAUGAGUUCAUGAGAGGUCUAGGCCGUCGUCUCCAAGUCAACUAUGGUUGCAGAGGAUCGUUGUCUUCGUAUGAUGUAAUUAUUUAGCUAUUUUGUACAAAACUCCUAUUAUAUAGUAAAGAUGGAACAUUCGUUUCAGUACCAUAAGUCAUCAUAUGUGUGAGACUUGAUCCUAGCACACAUGUGAUUCGCGCCUGGGUUUGCCCUUAAAUCCGGGUGUGAAAACCAUGUUAAUAAUGAAUUAAUUGAGGUU